AACCUGGUUGAUCCUGCCAGUAGUCAUAUGCUUGUCUCAAAGAUUAAGCCAUGCAAGUCUAAGUGUAAACAAAUUUAUACUGUGAAACUGCGAAUGGCUCAUUAAAUCAGUUAUAGUUUAUUUGAUAUUGCCUUACUACUUGGAUAACCGUGGUAAUUCUGCAGCUAAUACAUGCUUCAAAACCCGACUUCUGGAAGGGUUGUACUUAUUAGAUUUAAACCAGCCCGGGCAACCGGUCCUUUGGUGAUUCAUGAUAAUUUUUCGAAUCGUAUGACUUUAUGUCGACGAUGGUUCAUUCAAAUUUCUGCCCUAUCAACUUUCGAUGGUAGUAUAGAGGACUACCAUGGUUUUAACGGGUAACGGAGAAUUAGGGUUCGAUUCCGGAGAGGGAGCCUGAGAAACGGCUACCACAUCCAAGGAAGGCAGCAGGCGCGCAAAUUACCCAAUCCUGAUACAGGGAGGUAGUGACAAUAAAUAACAAUAUUGAACCUUAAAGGUUUGAUAAUUGGAAUGAGUACAAUUUAAACCCCUUAACGAGAAACAAUUGGAGGGCAAGUCUGGUGCCAGCAGCCGCGGUAAUUCCAGCUCCAAUAGCGUAUAUUCAAGUUGUUGCAGUUAAAAAGCUCGUAGUUGAAUUUUGGAUCUGGUCAAGUGGUUUAGUCGCAAGAUUAACACUGCUUUGGCUGGUUCUUUCCUUGUAGGAAAUUAACGUAUUCUUAACUGAGUGCGUUAAGGAUCUACAACUGUUACUGUGAAAAAAUUAGAGUGUUUAAAACAGGCUUAUGCUUGAAUACUACAGC
rnacentral:rRNA from 1 species